rnacentral:tRNA from 1 species
CGGGAUGUAGAUCAGUUGGCUAGAUCGCAUGCAUGGGGUGCAUGAGGCCGGAGGUUCGAGUCCUCUCAUCCCGA